rnacentral:piRNA from 1 species
UCUAAGAUCAACAAUUGAUAAAUGGGACCU